CUGGGCGUAGUCUAACUGGAGAGGCAUCGGCCUUCUAAUCCGAUCAUAUGUGGGUUCGAGUCCCACCGCUCAGGCCA
rnacentral:tRNA from 3 species